rnacentral:tRNA from 1 species
GGGGCCGUGGGGUAGCCUGGUUAUCCUUCGGCGUUCGGGACGCCGUCACCCGAGUUCAAAUCUCGGCGGCCCCA